UCGCCAGACUCCUACGGGAGGCAGCAGUGAGGAAUAUUGGUCAAUGGGCGCGAGCCUGAACCAGCCAAGUCGCGUGAGGGAUGACGGCCCUACGGGUUGUAAACCUCUUUUGUCGGGGAGCAAAUUCCGCCACGUGUGGCGGAGUCGAGAGUACCCGAAGAAAAAGCAUCGGCUAACUCCGUGCCAGCAGCCGCGGUAAUACGGAGGAUGCGAGCGUUAUCCGGAUUUAUUGGGUUUAAAGGGUGCGCAGGCGGAAGAUAAAGUCAGGGUUAAAAUUGGGAGGCUCAACCUCUCCGAGCCGUUGAAACUGGUUUUCUUGAGUGAGCGAGAAGUAUGCGGAAUGCGUGGUGUAGCGGUGAAAUGCAUAGAUAUCACGCAGAACUCCGAUUGCGAAGGCAGCAUACCGGCGCUCAACUGACGCUCAUGCACGAAAGUGUGGGUAUCGAACAGGAUUAGAUACCCCCGUA
rnacentral:rRNA from 1 species